GAUGAACGCUGGCGGCGUGCCUAAUACAUGCAAGUCGAGCGAAUGGAUUGAGAGCUUGCUCUUAUGAAGUUAGCGGCGGACGGGUGAGUAACACGUGGGUAACCUGCCCAUAAGACUGGGAUAACUCCGGGAAACCGGGGCUAAUACCGGAUAACAUUUUGAACCGCAUGGUUCGAAAUUGAAAGGCGGCUUCGGCUGUCACUUAUGGAUGGACCCGCGUCGCAUUAGCUAGUUGGUGAGGUAACGGCUCACCAAGGCAACGAUGCGUAGCCGACCGGAGAGGGUGAUCGGCCACACUGGGACUGAGACACGGCCCAGACUCCUACGGGAGGCAGCAGUAGGGAAUCUUCCGCAAUGGACGAAAGUCUGACGGAGCAACGCCGCGUGAGUGAUGAAGGCUUUCGGGUCGUAAAACUCUGUUGUUAGGGAAGAACAAGUGCUAGUUGAAUAAGCUGACACCUUGACGGUACCUAACCAGAAAGCCACGGCUAACUACGUGCCAGCAGCCGCCGCCG
rnacentral:rRNA from 1 species